GAAAAUAAAAAUGGUGUCGUCAUACAGCCUUCAAUGUUAUUUAUUCAAAUCCCGACUAUAUAAUAAAACAAUUAUAUACUUUAUAGGCGGAAGCCGCCUAUUGCAUUUGCUUUGAUGACCUUUUUACCUCUCAAGAUGUCAAAGGUCAAUUUUGCCCUCUGACAUGGUACUCCAAACGGAUGUAUCUUAAACUAUGGGCAUACAACCGUUACUCGUAUUCGACACCCUUUCCAAUCUUUAUCGUUAUUAUCAUAUCAAAAGCGUGUGUUAUGGCUGAAUUUAUUUUAACAAUUUAUUUUGAUUUAUGAAAAAAAGUCCAAUGAAAUAAUAGCCUAAUAAUAGAACUAAUAGUUACUUUAGUACUCCUGAUACAUUUCACGCUUGAGAGAAGAACGAACGACAGCUCUGUAUGUUUAAAACAAAAACAAAUGGGGUUCAACAUCACGGGGUCCUGAAGCGAUGUUUAGAAAUAUUACGAGGGACAAAAUAGUUCAAGUAGGUAUAAUUAUAUUUAAGAAUUAAUGACAGGUACAUGUAUACAGCUACUGAUGAACUAAUUUUUUAAAUAAUCUAUUGGAAAAUAGAAGAAAAGAGGUAUGUAGUUUCUUUUAUCAAUUGUUUAUUUAUACUUAUGUACUACUUCCGCGUAAUAAUCUAACAUGAGACGAUUCAGCGUGAAAUUAUUGUAAACAAACCCACAUGGAGUACAAAUGAUUUACAAUGGAAGUGACAGGCUUCUCUUCAACAUUAGCUAGGAUGGACCAAAGCUAUGAAAACUGGACAGUCUCAAAGACACAAUUUUAGUCAGUAUAGAUGUGUCCCUAUGGAGGCAGCUAACAAAGAGCAGGAUAAUUAACAUUGCAUGGUGAACAUGUAGAAAUUUCGCUCUGUGUCAUCUCUAAAUCAGAAAAACUCAAUUCAGCACAACCGCAGUCAGAUACACUAUUCUCAUGAUUCUGUCAGAAGAAAAUUCUAACAAGAGACAGCUGUCAGGAGAAUGGUGGAGACAAUCUCCAGAAAAGAAAACGCUACUGAUAUUAGGAUGCAUGUACCAAUAUUUUACGAUCCCGAAAGACAAAUUUACCACAGGAAUAAAAAAAAAUAUUGUCUGGCUUUCAAGGGCCUGCUAUGGUAGGAGCUCUCCUGAAAAAAUAUCCAAUGGAUUUAUUGUGGACAUCAUGACACAGGGCUCACCUGUCAUCAGCAUUAAAGACUUGUGAUUUGUUCUACCUGGGCCAUACGUGUAUUGAAUCAAGACAUUUUAUAGAAUCACAAGCACAUUGUAAAUCUAUGUAAGGUCUUCUAUGUAUGUUGCAUCCUUAUUUGAUUUGCAACUUAACAAGACUUCGUUUCAUUUGUACUAUGUCAACUUAAUAUACAGAAAAAAAAACAAUAGCAGUUGUGAUGUUUAAUGUUUUCUAUUACUCAUUAGUACUCAUUUUU